rnacentral:rRNA from 1 species
UACGUAGGGUGCAAGCGUUGUCCGGAAUUAUUGGGCGUAAAGAGCUCGUAGGCGGUCUGUCACGUCGGCUGUGAAAACCCGAGGCUCAACCUCGGGCCUGCAGUCGAUACGGGCAAACUAGAGUACUGCAGGGGAGACUGGAAUUCCUGGUGUAGCGGUGAAAUGCGCAGAUAUCAGGAGGAACACCGGUGGCGAAGGCGGGUCUCUGGGCAGUAACUGACGCUGAGGCGACGAAAGCCAGGGGAGCAAACGGG